ensembl:lncRNA
AUCCAGGCUAAGAGGGGAUAAAGAAAUGCUUUCUGGUCAGGGAAACUGGCUAUAUAAGAGGCUGUGUUCGUGAAAUGAAGAAAUGGUAGAAAACUUCCCUCAAAUGAUAAUGGGAAGUGGGUCAAGUCCUACAGUGUGUAUCUGUUUUAUUGCUUGUGAACAUUUUCAUCAGAGGGGAAAAGGAGAUGGAGAAACCAUUUAUUGAAGACUUACCAUGUGCCCUGCAUUGCAGCCUUCCAUCAUGUUAUGACUCAAUAAGAAGGCCCUUGCAAGAUGCAGGCGCUUUGACCUUGAACUUCCCAGCCUCCAGAACUGUGAGAAAUAAAUUACUUUUCUUUAUAAAUUACUCAGUCUAUGGUAUUCUAUUAUAGCAACACAGAAUGGACUAAAGCACAUUCACAUAUACAUUUAUUUACUUAUUUUCCAUGUGAGCCAUAGAUUGUAUUUACAAGAUUGUUGGCUUAGGUUGAGACUUCAAUCUUUUGCCAGUGAACAAAACAAAGCUACCUGGAAUAUGGUUUAUAAGGAUGAGUACAGGAUUUGGAGCCAUGCCAACAUAAACUUGAGCUCACACUCUACCAUUUUCCAGAUCUGUGACCCUUGAUAGAUUUCUUAAUUCAGAUCUUGGUUUCUCCGUAAGUAAAAUGGACAUACUACUACUCAUAUUAUUAUAAAUAUAUUUAGAGUGCUUAACACAGCACCUAGCAUAUAGCAAGUGCUUAAUAAAUACCAGCUCUAAUAAACAAAUAUGCCCAGAAGGUUAGAGGUGCCAAACUGUAAUAAACACUCCAUGUCUAGGGACAUGGUAAGAAAAAGAAAGACUCUAAGGUGGAGAAAUAUCAAUUUUUUGGUGUUAUUUCUAACUAGAAUAGUAUGAGGCAGCCCUGGAGAGAGGGCAGAAUGGGGAACUGUGGCUGAUUAGUCGAGAGUUAGGGGUAAGCAAGUUAAGCUCUUACAUAGGGCCUGCCAUAUAAGGCUUACCCCUUUUUUGAAAAUCUGGAAGGACCAAGAAAAUCUAAGAAUGUUUAAAUGGAUUGGGCUGGAAUGUGUGUGUGUACAUGCAUGCAUGUAUGUGAAGCUAAAAUGAAUUGUCUAAUAUUCUGAUUGCUUUACAUAUUUUAAUACAUCCAACUUUAAUUUAAAGAAGAAGAAGAACAACAAAAAGACCUUCUCAACAUUAACAUCCUCAGAGAGAGGGAGCUGGGAUACAAAUCCAUAAAAGGUAGGGACUUGAGCUCACAGAAGCCCUGUGUUAUGCGGCUUCUUGCCCCAGUCUUUUGCCUUAGUAACUUGGAAGCUUCCAAACUUUGUCAGCUGGGCCCUACUUACCCAGCAAAAUGAAUACCAAGCUGAGAAUUUGGCCUGCACCUCAGUUAUGCAAAUUCAGAGGACACAAAUGACCCAUCCAUGCCAUGCAACUCUACCAGGGCCCUUGGUUGCUUUUGCUCUGAAAGCCAAUGACAUCAUCUGCUAGACAUACUGCAUAACAUGGGAAGACCUCAAAUACAAAGCAGGUUACAGACCUAUUUUCUGCCUGGAAGAUGCACAGGGGCCUCUCCUCCCUUGCUCAUAUUUUUAUCAGCUGGUGGAAGCUGCAUUCAUUUUCUCCAAAGAAGAAUAAAAGCUAUUGAAUCUCAUCUCCUGUGUCUUUUAUAUGGAAAUGACUGAGGUACUCUGCUUUCUUUGAAAAGUUUCUGGUUGCAGUAUCUACGGUCUCUUCUCUUUCAAUUACUGAACAGCCUAUGUCUGACCUGUAUUUUUUCUCAAAACCGAGCUCUGUUUGCCAGCUUCCAUUUAUGCACAAAAUGCGCCAGUACUCCAAUUUCAGUUGGGGAAGAAAAGGUAGAUGGGCACAGCUAUUCUUGAAACAAACAUUUUUAUUUCAUUUUUAGCAUGCACCUUGGUGCUACAGUGUUAGUAACAAGAAGUCUCACUGUGAAAAUAAUGAUCUUAUGUGAAGGAAAAUGUUAUUAGUUGACCACGUUGCAGCUAAAUUCCUUUGGUGAAUUUUUGAGAGAAGGCUCUGAAGUCGAACCCUGGCCCACUAUGUACCAGUACAUGACUUUGGGUGUGUAGGGGCAGAAAGGUAUGAUACCUUUUCUCACCCAUCGUAAGGGUCCACAGCUGACACUCUGAUAACAAAAGACUGGUUAGCAAGAGAAGAACACAACAGAUUUAUUUAUUUAUUUUAUUUUAUUUUAUUUUAUUUUUGAGACGGAGUCUCGCUGUGUCUCCCAGGCUGGAGUGCAGUGGCGUGAUCUCGGCUCACUGCAAGCUCCGCCUCCCGGGUUCACGCCAUUCUCCCGCCUCAGCCUCCCAAGUAGCUGAGACUACAGGCGCCCGCCACCACGCCCGGCUAGUUUUUUGUAUUUUUUAGUAGAGACGGGGUUUCACCAUGUUAGCCAGGAUAGUCUCGAUCUCCUGACCUCGUGAUCCACCCGCCUCGGCCUCCCAAAGUGCUGGGAUUACAGGCUUGAGCCACCGCGCCCGGCACAACAGAUUUAUUUAAUCAGUUUUAUGUAACACAGGAGGCUUCAGAAAUAAAGACCUAAAGACUCAGAGGAAAAGUUAUUUAUUUUUAUGUUUUGGUUUGAUGAAGAAUGGGCAGCCAUGUAGAAAUGUGACUGGACAAAAAGGUAUGAUCUAAUAGAUCAUAGCUGAAGGAGGAAACCCAGCAAGGCCUGCCUGUUCAGAUUCUUCUGGGCCUCUGUAUAACAUUCCUCCCUCCCAGGUAUGGGACAGGACCCCCAUGGAAGAAGGGUCUUCAAAAGAGAAGAGAUAAGGGAGAGAGUGACCUUUCUGGGUUUUAUGGCUUGUUUUGGGGGAGAGGGGUUCCAGUUUCUAUGAUACGCCAUGUGGAAGAGGAAUUCUGGAUUCUGUGACUCACAUCAGGGGAGAAAAAGGAGUGGGUGAUAGGAGGGCAAGAGAAACUGCUUCUGAGGUCCUUCUAAUGUCCUUCGGUUCAAAGUACUCCGCAUGCCAAGGUGCCAUGCUUUGGGAUAUUGUUUGCUGAGUCCCAACAGGUGAGAUUCAACUAUUCCCCAUUUGUGAAAUGGAGUCUUAAUGUAAAAUGGAGUAUUAAUGUAAAAUGGAAGUGUUCUUCAUGCAUAAAAUUCAAGUGAGGAUUUAACGAGAUCCUCCAUGUACAUGAUUUAACAUGAUUUCGGGCAUACGUAGGUACUUGAGAGACUUUUACUAUUGUGAUUAAUCUUUUGAGAAAAAUUACAAAAAAAUUAUGGCUAUAUCUCUUUCUCAAUUAUAUCUACUAUAGGUGCUUUGGGAGGCUUAGUUUGUUUCCCUCUAGAGACAUCUCUUUUGUUGAUAAGGUGUUCUGACUCCAAAUUAUAGCCCCAUUCAUUUUUGAAAAUGUGGUUUCUCUGUGGGCUCUGUACCAUAAUUGCUAAAAAGGACCCUUGGUGACUGUAAUAACAUGAUGAGUUAAAUUUUCUGAUUAUCAGGAAAGAAUUUCUUUUGUGCAUAGCCAUGUAGCUUAAAACUUUUCUGAGAUAUAUCAGUUUCUUUUUAUUUUUUAACAUGUAUGGUUUACCUAAGUGGUUGCAGAGAACACAAGUUUGAGUCACACAGACUUUAAUUUAAAUCCUGUGCCCACAAUUUACCAGUCAUGUGACUUUAGGUGGGCAGCUGCUCUGAUCCUUAGUCUCUUUACAAAAUAGGAAAUAAAAAUCAAUUACCCAGUUUUGAAAUUGAACCUUUAGGAGAUUUUUAGUAUUCUGUAGUACCUAAUUUUGAACAUCAGCCCUCACUGCAAAAUAUUAAGAAAUAAACUUAGAAGGUUUUGGAGAUGAUAUGCAUGCCUGAAAUUUUUGCAUUUCAAAAUAACUGUUGUCUUUGCAAGUAUUUUUCAUAGUAAUUCCCAGAAGCCAGAGGUUUUUAUUAUGAAAUGAGAAUAACAGAGAAAAGAGUGGAAUGGCUGAAUUCAGUGGUGGUAUAUGUGUAAUUUUUUAAGAAAUUGCCAAACUUUUCCAAGUGACUGUUCAAUUUGCAUUACUGCACUGAUAUAAUUUGGCAUAUUUUAAUUGUAUAAAUCCACUCUUUAUUGCCAUCACCAAAAUUCUGUAUCUUAAGCUUUGUUCUGCAUUUUGCAAUUGUUCUAAGAGUCUUUUUCUCAGACACACACACACACACACACACACAGGCAAGCAAUACCUCUUGAGUAUGUCUGCCCUUGAUUGUUUUAGAGUCAGGCUGAGCAGCAGGGAAAUCAACAAUGUAUUGGAUUUAGCCAAUGAGUGUAGCUGACUAUUUUUGCUUAUGUGAUUAGCUUCCAUUUCAAAGUCAGCCUUAGAGCAGAUAACAAAAUCUCUUUCUGGACAAACAAACAAAACUACCAAUAAAUCUGCAUGAAAGUGGAAGAUGACCUGAAGCAGCUUGGUCUUAAGUGACCCUUACAGACUACCAGAGAAGGAGCUAUCUUUUCAAGGAGAAAAAAAACCCAAAACAACAAAAGGAUCAUCCCUUUCUUCAAGGAGAAAAUACAUAUUAAAAAUACACUUCACCAUUUUAGAAAUGCCUGCGUAACUUUGAUUGUCAGCCCCUCAGGAAAAAAACCUUGUUUGUAGGCUCUUCAGGGAGACUGGAAAAAAGAAUGCUGUACUGGCAAGCAAUCCGUCCGAAACAUUAAUCAGAGAAUGCAACCCUUAUGUUUUGAGAAAUGCUUGUUGGUUUAGAUAAUAAUAAUAAAUAUACUAGUUUUACCCAUAGUUCUUCAUAUUACUGCUGCCCCUUAUGAUAAGAAGGCUUUCAGCUGGAGAAAAAAAGUUAAACGGGAAGAUACAAAUCAAACAUCUGCAAAUAUAUAAGAAUCUUUUCGAAGCUUGCUUUCUUUUAAAUCAAUCUGCCGGGUAGAUUUGUUACAACAUAGAGAACCAUAGGGAAAUAACAGAGAAGGAAAAAAAUUUUUUAAAGGAUUAGCAAAACUGAUAUUCUUAUUUUCUCACUUUACCCUUAGCCUGAUCUGUAUCCCUAGUUAUGUUGAAAAGGAUGAUUGUUUUGUAUCACUUUUAAAAGCCACAAUUUUCCCUAAGCCAACAGUAAUAUAUGCUAAUAAAAAUUACUUUGUUAAUAAGGGGAUUUAGAAUUACC